rnacentral:rRNA from 1 species
AGCUCCAAUAGCGUAUAUUAAAGUUGUUGCAGUUAAAAAGCUCGUAGUUGGAGUUCAGGGUGAGCUCAACUGGUCGGCCUCAGGGUCAGAACUGGUUGACUCUCUCUUGUUUGUGGAUUCCGCCCGGAGUUAACUCUUCGGAUGUGAAGUCCACAUCGUUUACCUUGAAAAAAUUAGAGUGUUCAAAGCAGGCGUUUGCUUGAAUAUAUUAGCAUGGAAUAAUGGAAUAGGACGCUGGUUCUAUUUUGUUGGUUUUGAGAACCAGAGUAAUGAUUAAUAGGGACAGUUGGGGGCAUUCAUAUUUCAUUGACAGAGGUGAAAUUCUUGGAUUUAUGAAAGAUGAACUUCUGCGAAAGCAUUUGCCAAGGAUGUUUUCA